rnacentral:rRNA from 1 species
GAUGAACGCUAGCUACAGGCUUAACACAUGCAAGUCGAGGGGAAACGACAUCGAAGGCUUGCUUUUGAUGGGCGUCGACCGGCGCACGGGUGAGUAACGCGUAUCCAACCUGCCCACCACUUGGGAAUAACCUUGCGAAAGUAAGACUAAUACCCAAUGAUAUCCCACGAAGGCAUCCGAAUGGGAUUAAAGAUUUAUCGGUGAUGGAUGGGGAUGCGUCUGAUUAGCUUGUUGGCGGGGUAACGGCCCACCAAGGCGACGAUCAGUAGGGGUUCUGAGAGGAAGGUCCCCCACAUUGGAACUGAGACACGGUCCAAACUCCUACGGGAGGCAGCAGUGAGGAAUAUUGGUCAAUGGGCGAGAGCCUGAACCAGCCAAGUAGCGUGCAGGAUGACGGCCCUAUGGGUUGUAAACUGCUUUUAUAAGGGAAUAAAGUGAGUCUCGUGAGACUUUUUGCAUGUACCUUAUGAAUAAGGACCGGCUAAUUCCGUGCCAGCCGCCGCAGUAA